rnacentral:rRNA from 1 species
UACGUAGGGUGCGAGCGUUAAUCGGAAUUACUGGGCGUAAAGCGUGCGCAGGCGGUCUGUUAAGACCGAUGUGAAAUCCCCGGGCUUAACCUGGGAACUGCAUUGGUGACUGCAUCGCUCGAGUAUGGCAGAGGGGGGGUAGAAUUCCACGUGUAGCAGUGAAAUGCGUAGAGAUGUGGGAGGAAUACCGAUGGGCGAAGGCAGCCCCCUGGGUCAAUACUGACGCUCCAUGCACGAAAGCGUGGGGAGCAAACAGG